GGGGAUGUUUUAGGAGUUGAUAUUUAGCAUGAAGUAUGAAGAGCAGUGGUCUUACAAACCUAAAGGUAAAAAAAAUAUAACUGCAAAAUCUAAUUUUGUAAAUUUCUUAAGUGCUAGAAAUAGCCAAGCUUGCGCAUUCGCAGCUUAAUUAAAAAAUUAAGAAAUGGUCUAAUAAUUUUAUGCCUAUGAGAAUUAUUAGGUCUGUCUUUAAUAGGAUCAUUGUAAUUAGCGUCAUCUAAUUACAAAACAUUUAUGACUAUAUUUUAAAAAGUUAGUUUUUAUAUCUUCUUAAAAUUAAAUUGAAAAAUAAAACUAAACUGUAGAGCUUUAUAUGAAUUGCUAGGUAGAAAUGGGUUCGAAUCCCAUCAUCUCCACCA
rfam:Mycoplasma sp. (ex Biomphalaria glabrata), complete genome.